GUGCUCGCUUCGGCAGCCCAUAUACUAAAAUUGGAACGAUACAGAGAUUAGUAUGGCCCCUAUGCAAGGAUGACACGCAAAUUUGUGAAGCGUUCCUUAUUUUU
rnacentral:snRNA from 1 species